rnacentral:rRNA from 1 species
CACUCCUACGGGAGGCAGCAGUGGGGAAUUUUGGACAAUGGGCGAAAGCCUGAUCCAGCAAUGCCGCGUGAGUGAAGAAGGCCUUCGGGUUGUAAAGCUCUUUUGUCAGGGAAGAAACGGUGAGAGCUAAUAUCUUUUGCUAAUGACGGUACCUGAAGAAUAAGCACCGGCUAACUACGUGCCAGCAGCCGCGGUAAUACGUAGGGUGCAAGCGUUAAUCGGAAUUACUGGGCGUAAAGCGUGCGCAGGCGGUUUUGUAAGUCUGAUGUGAAAUCCCCGGGCUCAACCUGGGAAUUGCAUUGGAGACUGCAAGGCUAGAAUCUUGCAGAGGGGGGUAGAAUUCCACGUGUAGCAGUGAAAUGCGUAGAUAUGUGGAGGAACACCGAUGGCGAAGGCAGCCCCCUGGGUCAAGAUUGACGCUCAUGCACGAAAGCGUGGGGAGCAAACAGGAUGAGAUACCCUUGUAGUCCCA